rnacentral:lncRNA from 1 species
ACAAAAAUAAAAAACUUAGCAGGGUAUGAUAUUUAAGUGCUUCUAGCUUGUAGGUAAUUGUUCAGGAAUGCUAUUGUGAUAAUAAACUCGCUAAUACGAAUAUAACCAAAUCGUUUUACGGAAACAAACUUCACGUGCACCUUCAUUUAAUUGUCGUAAUCACUUUCACACGUGAAUUAUUGUAACUUUUGUUACGCUUUCUUGUUUACGUCAUUCAAAAAUGUUUUAUUUUCAAUAGAUAUCACAUAAAUAAUCCUUACUGUGCAUGAGAAAUAAAACUUAAAGGUUUUCGUAGCAUGAGCACAAAAUAACACGGGUAUAUGUUUUUAGAAAACAUGAAAUGCUUUGACAUGUGGAAUUUCUUUAUUUUUCGUGGUCGGUCCCUGUGCAUUGUUAGAUUAUCGCUUAACUAAUCGUUGAACAAGCUGUCACAAGAUGCACCGUGGUUCUUUUAGUCGUGUGUGGUUAUUUCUUGAUGUUUAAUGUAUUUUUCUUAUGUAGCGUCAUUUUAAUUUUCCAUUAGGUAGCUUAAGUGAAAGUGUUCCACAUCGCCGUAGCGUUUCCGUAUACAUUUUCUAUGUCUAAUACCUUUGCACUUUAAUUAAAUUUACAGGAGCUAUGUCGUGUAUUUACUUGAGUAACGUAAUUGCCAACGCUUGUCCUGCAGAGCCCGUUAUGAUUCCGUGGUAACAUCGUAUCGAAACAAUGGCGGGAGGUCUUGAGUCCGUAACUGGCAAUCGUGACUAAGAAAUACAUUUCGGACGUCACGUGGAUGGAUCCCCAAAUAGUCUCCAGAGUUUAUUAAGGCUUUUCAUCGUAAAUUUAAAGCUAAUUAAACUUGAAGAUGUUUUUUAUUAUGUUGGAGACGUCAGGCAGGCUUUUAACGGAACGGAAUCGAUAGGCGAUAGAUUACAAAUUACACUCUAAGUAAAAUCUGUCAGGAGAUCAGGAGCGGAAUUUAGAAGAAAAUUAAAUAAGGCGCAUAAUUAGUUAUCUGAUCAAUAUAAUUGUUAAAAAGUUUUUUAAUUUUUGUAUGCAUGUAUCUUUGUAUGUACUCUUCAAGUCUGUGUUUAAUGGAAUCUUUUGAGUAAAAUUUAUCAAUUUGGUAUUGCCUAGUAGUUUGACUAAACUAAUAAAUUAUUUUAUACAACAUUCAAAUGAGAAAUAUACAUAUGAUUUCCUACUAUAUCAUAAAAAGUUGAGGAGAAAUGAAUGAACCGGGCGAUGGCUAGGUUUAACACCUGAUCAUGUAAAUUAUUACAUCAUUAUUCGACUAUAAUACACUAUAUUAUGAUUUAUAUGUAUAUAUUUAUAGAAAAUUAACAUACAAUAGUCAGAAAUAAUUGUAUCAUUUGGGGUUCAGUAAAAGGUAUCUCCACUUUACGUCUUAGAAGUAGUUUUUAAUGUAUAUUAAUGCUACUAUUUUAUAAAAAUACUAAGUAGGUAGUGCCAUUAUCAUGCGCCCUGUAAAGACAUUAAAUAUAUACUAUAUACUAUAAACACAUAUAAGUGGUUACAAAAAGUUAUAUUACAUUUCACAAUCUCAAAUAGCAAGUUGUAAGACUACUUUAAACUCUGCGGGCGUGGCUUAUUUUAGUUUUCAAGUAAUUAGGUAACAUUUUAAAAGGCUUUUUGUUUGUAAAUGAUGUACCAAAUGUCGCUUAAAGUGUAGGACAUGUUAAUUUUGCAAGUAUUAGGUUAAAAUUUGCUACCUACCUACAUAGUUUAAAUAUAGUUGUACAUGAAGCUAAUAUCAUGCUACGGAUAAAUGAUCCUAUGAAAUAUUUGUUAAACAUCUAAAGAAUAUGGAUAUCUAUAUAUAACCAAAUAAAUCGAAUUGAAUAAUUGCAAAAAAUGUAUAAGUUUAUUUAAAGCAAUCAAAUAUGUAUUUAUCUCGAAGCGCACAACUCUGAUUUAUUACAAAAAUAAUUUAACAAUUUCAUUAAUUGUAAAGUAUUUAGUAACUAGUAAUGCGCAAAUUAAUUUAAAUGAAUGCAAAAAGUUCUUGGACAUUGUAAAGAUAAACAAUAUAUUUUCAGAAAAUAAACCAAAAUAUAAGUAAACUUAGUUAUUUUGUUUCUUUGAAAAUCAUUCAUUGUUAAAACCUCAUCGAUUUUUCCUAGUCUUUCCCCUUCUGCUUUCCGAUGUUAGCGAUUCUUCAAAAUAGAAUAGCUAGAGAGAUAUAAAACGAAGCAAGCUUGCUGCUACAUAUGCUUUUGCAAAAUGCAUCGACAUCUAGUUCUGGCAAAGUUUUUAAUCUUUGUGCUAAUAAAUGUGAACACGUUUGAGGUGCAGAAACAAGGAGUUGCUUUGAUACAUUUCUUUGUUCAAAAUGGAAUGCACUCGAGUAAUAUCUCAUGGGUAUUGGCUAACGAGACAUUGCUUACAAACUAACACAAGAGUGACUGUGUUCUUUAAGUCCGUGCAAUGUAACAUACAAUCAUCCAAUGCAUAGAGACAUAGUAGUAUUGCAGUGUACAGUUUAAAUAAAUAUAACGAAGCUUGAUUUUUCAACAUUGCAAGAUGAGAAUGAUGAAACUAGCUCUAUUUCAAUUCCCUUUUCACCUUCUUACAUAUCCUUGCGCCUAGAUUCCUGAAGCGGUAAGUAGGUCUCAAUAAAUACAAAUAUUUUUUAAAUAUACCAUGAACUUAGGCGUCAAAUGUUUUCUAUAAAUAAUUUGGAGAAUUAUUUCGAAAGAUUCUAAAUUUUAUUCAAGUUUUAAAAUUAAUUAACUAUGUAUCCUAAAUUCUCUACAAUUUUCUACAUACUACCGCUUCAACAUUACAAAGGUAUU